rnacentral:sRNA from 1 species
CUGCUUGUUGGGGGGAUAUAAAGUGGAUAUGAACAUCCAACGCGCCAGCCGUGACUAUCUGCCCUUCACCGGCGAUAAUUUCGGUGGCUGCGCCAAUGGCCAUGGUCACGUUGGGUUGAAUAUCCGGGUUGCCAGCCUUGCCGAUCGCGGCGAUUUUGCCAUUCUUGAUGCCGAUAUCUGCUUUAACGAUGCCCCAAUGAUCAAUGAUGGUGGCAUUAGUAAUCACAGUAUCCAUGACUUCGUUGUGAUUACGCUGUGAUUGACCCAUACCAUCCCGG